AAAGGCUACAACUUUCGUGUUUUACACAUGAGCUGGUUCAGCCUCUAACAUCAAGAAAAGAUCGGUUGAAGUUGGGCCAAAAAUAGAGCAAGUGAUCCACACUCGGAUCCACUAUUCAUCCGAACCCUCGGCUGUUUCUGGGUUAGUGGAUCCGAGCUCGGAUCCAUACGGAUCCGAGGCACUGUAGCAGCUCGGAUCACUGGUCAGAAAAGGUUGCUUUAUACGCGUAAAACUCAAUUUCACCUCCACCAACUCACAUGUGAUGCUAGACAUGUGAGAGACAUUACCAGCUGUAAAAGGGAGUUGAAAACAUCAUUUCUUGACCAACCUUUCAUCAUUAAAUAGCCAAAUUCAUUGCAAGAGAGAGGAUCCAAGAAGUAGAGAGCAAGAGAAGAGGAGAUAGCAGAAAAAUAGAGAGGGAGCUACGGGAGAAGCUUGGAGUCUGUAGAAAUGUAGCUCUUUCAUCUCCCUAGUGUUAGUUUAGCUUAGUAUAGAGUAGUGUAGCUUUUCCAUUCUUGUUUAUUAUCUAGAUUAGGAUGAAGAAGGCAAGGAAGAAAGCUCAUGUGACAAGGAUUAGGAUGAAGAUGGAGGAUGAAGAAGGCAAGGAAGAAAGCUCAUGUGACAAGGGUUGUAUUCCUUCCAAACUCUUUAUCUUUUGUAUUUGAUUCCAAGUUUAGUUAAUAUACAAGUUCUGGAUUUUGUGUUUAAUAUGUGUAUCUAAAGUUUAAGCCUUGGGUUUGGUUGAACUUUCUAUGAUUGUUAGUGUUUAUUAUUUGGUUAUUUGAUUGCUAUGAUUUGAGCAAGUUAUUUAGCACUUUGGCUCUUUAAAUCAUGAUUAAUCUGGUACCAUUAAUUAUGAUUAUCUAAGGUGUUGUUUCUGCAAUGGAAAUUGAGAUUUAACACUAGUUCAAGAAGUGCUAAACAUAGGGAGUACACUCACGAAAGUAGAGGUGCACCUAUGUGGUUUUUAGUGAUUCAUUUCAUGUAAUUUCAUUGAAGAAAUGAACUUGUAGCUAAUUUCAUAACCAUGAAAAUAGGUAUGGAUUAGUUAUGAGUAUAAUUGAUUCACUACGAAAGUAGGAUUCAAAUGCAUAAGGAAAUUACACCAUAAUUAGCCUAGAUGUAGUAUUCAAUGAUCCAAAUGUAGCACUUGCAUGAGUAGUUAGGGAUACCACAACCUAAGGAGCUUUUAUUUGUUAUUUUGUAUAAUUUCAGUAGGUUAAAUUUCUUAUAAUUCAUUGAUAGUCUAAAUAAUAGAGAAGCUUUAGUAGUACCGGUAAUUGCAAUCUUCCUUGUGGGAUCGACCCUUAAUACCCUAUACUCGCUCACGAUUCGUAUACUUGCGAUAAAUCGCGUGUGGGGUGUUUAGGAAUUUAUAAAUGUAAAACUUGAUUAGAAUGAGGUUAAAUUGAUAUGUAUACCCUGCGCACGUCAAGUUUUUGGCGCCGUUGCCGGGGAAGAUUUGGCAAUAUCGGUGUGAAGAGCAACUUUAUUAGUUUAGACAUUUCAUUAGUUAUAGUGUGAAUGUUAUUUUCUGUUAUUUUUGUGUUUUAUGUGUGUAUGUGUUUCAUUACCUAUUUUUCUUACUAAUUUUGCUUUUGAGAUUGUUUAAAAGCAAUUUUAGGUAAUGAGAAGGGUAGGUCAAUUUGGAGGACAAUGCUUGAGAAGUGAAAGAUUGGAAAUGGAUGGUUACCAAGUGCAAAGCUCCUUCAAUAGAGGUAACCAAGAAUUUACUGAAUGUAUGUCUUUUGAAGAUGGUUUAAGGUGCUUAAAGGCUAAAUUUGAUUUUAUGAUGUUGCAAGUUCAAAUGGACGCAAUUAUGCAUGAAAUUGAGCAAGGGAGGAAUGAUAAUGCUUUUAAUUCUUAUCAUGUGAUUUGUGACUUGUGUGGAGGUUAUCAUGCUACUAAUACAUGUAUGCAAGCACAAAAUGUGGAUUAUUAUGAUGAAUUAGAGCAUUACAAUCCUUGUUUUGAUCAAUAUAGUGCUAAUUGGAGCAAUUCUCCUGCUUAUGGUUGGAAUAAUCAAUGUACUUAUAGUGAUAAUUCAUGUUUUUAUGAUUACCAACCUGAAAGUGUCCAAUAUGAAUCAAAACCAUCUUGAGAGUUGGCAAUAGAGAAGUUAGCUAAUACACCUCUACCUUGGGAAUUAGAGAAUGAACCAUUAGCUAAUGAUUCUAAUGCAUCUUGGGAGUUAGCUGUAGAAAAUUAUUCUAAUCAAUUUAAUUCAGCAAUAGAAAAGCUAGCAAAUGCAACUUCCGACCGUUUUGAUAGGAUUGAGGAAAUGUUAGAUGAAUUAGCUUCUCACUUUGGUAAUAUACAUGAGCAAUUGAGUGCAUUGUGUGAAGUUAUUUCCUCUAAUGAUGUGCAAAAUGAUCCUAGCAUGAAUGGUGGGAAUGUUGUAUGUGAAAAUGGGUUGCAUUUUGAUGAAAAUGAUGAAUCUCAAGAGUGUUUUAAUGAGCAAAUAUCCAUUUCACAUGAUAAUAUCUUUGGAACUAACUUUGAACCUCAAGAGGUGAGUUUUAAUGACUCAAUUUUCAUCCCUCUUGAGGAGUGCAUUGAAAGUAUAGGUUCUAAAGGUAUUCCUGCUCAAGAUACUCUCAUGGCAUUCCCUUUGGUAAAUUCUCAAGUGGUGCAUAUUCAAGGUAAUAUCUAUGAAUCACUUGGGAUAGGUAAGUCACUUCCAUUUCUCACAUCAUUAGAUCUUGUGGCUUUUGCUAUAAAGUCACCUUUUAAUGAUCCACCACGGCCUAAAAUGGUGGAUUAUUCGUUAACUAAACCUCCUUGAAAAAUGAGGUGAUAUAGUCAAGCUAAUGACUAUAAAGAAGCGGUUGUUGGGAGGCAACCCAACGAUUUCUUGUUUUUAGUAAGUUUUGGUUGUUUGAUUAAUGUUUUUGUGUGUUUUGUAGGUAGCAAUGACAAGGAAUCAUGCGAAUUAUUUCAAGUGCAAAGGAGUUUAUAAGGAGUGGAGACUAAUGCGAAAAAGGGAAGCUUAACCUUUAUUUUUUUGAGUUUUACAAUGCUUAAUUUUAUGUUAUGAGGUUAAGUUAGUCAUUUGAAUGAACUUGAAGUGCAUUCAAGUGUUUAAAUGUGUUCAUGACCUAUUUUCACUCUUUUGAACCAUUUGAGCACCAUCAUGUGCUUUGGAAGUUUCGAGGGGACUAUUUGAUCCAAGAACUUCAACCCUCAAUUUGGAUUCUACAUGUUUUUGAUUUGAUUUGAGGUGUUGAGAUUCAUGUUUAAGUCACUUUCCAUGUGUGUAAAGUGUUGAAUUGUUCAAAAUUUCAUUGUAGAGCACGAAUUAGAGAGUGUGUUUCAAGUUGGGGCCAAACUGAAAAUUACAGAAAUUUCUGCAAUAAAUGCAUAAUCCACGGAUCCGAGCUCGGAUCCAUAUGGAUCCAAGGCCUCGGAUCCACUUCUGCAAUCAGGGAAAACUUCGAGCCACGGAUCCGAGCUCGGAUCCAUAUGGAUCCGAGGCCUCGGAUCCACUUCUGCAAUCAGAAAUUUUUUUUUCCUCUCUUCUUCAACUUACACACGCACUCACACCUAAAACACACACUACUCACUAAACUCACUCUUUUCACCAUCCAAUCUUCAAACCAAGUAUACCAAAACACUCCUUUUUCACUUGAGAGAUGAUUUCAUAGCUAAAAAUUCUUCAAAAACAAGUCUAAAUUCGGAUUUGAGCUUAGCGAGAACAAGGGUUUCAAAUUUUUGAACUAUCCAUUUGAGGCCGAAUUGGAGUGAAAUUUUUGGGGGUUUCUUCACCAUUUGCAUCCAUAAUCAUCAACCAACAAGUUUGAGGUAACAAAUCUUCACCAAAUGUUGUCAUUUGAAUUUUGCCAAUUUUUAUUUUUUUUUAUUUUUUGGGGCAAUUUCGAAUUUUUUUCAUUUUGUGAAGUUUGGUGCUUUACAUUGUGCUUAUUGAACUUAUUGAUGAUUAUUGGUGAUGUUUAACUCAUGAGUUUGUAAUUAUUUGGUGAAUUUUUGCUAAAUUUAUGCCUAAUUUGGCUUGGUGACAAAGUUGCAUAUUAAGUGGCCAAUGUAGCAUUUUAAUUAGCUUUGUGGGAGUUUAUGAUAUUCAUGUGAGUAAUUUAGAUUACCUAAUGAAUGAAAAGGGGCUUGGUUGAAUAAUUUCUUGAAUUCUUAGGUAAUUCUAAAAGAAAAGGUGAAUUGAAGAUGACCUUAAUUGAUGAAAUUCAUAAAUGCGCUUAUAAUCCUUGUGGUUCAAUGGUUUCUAGUAUUUCAUGAAUUCUCAAGAAGGUCAUUUAUAUUUUGGCUUGGUGUGUUCGCCUCCAUUUUGAGAUUGCUUUUGUACUUGCGGGGAUUUGAUCAUUGAUGACAAAAUGUAUAAAUGGAACUUAUUUUGUUCAUAAUUGUGGAUUUUUUGUGUGAAAUUAGCUUCCCUUUGCUUUGGAUACUAAUGCAUAUAUUUGAUUAGCAAAGAUUAGCUCAUUUCAUGUUUUUAUCCCUUGAACAUUGUAUGGUUCCACAUGCUUGAUCAUUUUUCCUUUUUCCUUGAAUUGCAUGAUUUUGUUGAUUGCAACCUUUUAUUUUUAAGAAAUUUAUUUGUUUUGAUUUUGUCUUUUUCAAGGUGCAAUAAGUGAACUCUCCAUUCUUUCUCAAAUACGGUUGGAAAUUCGUCACUUGGCUAUGGAUUCUGAUUGCGCAAGUUCAAUUGAGCAGUAUUUUCUUUUACUCUUUAUUUAUGUUCCUUUUCUCACAUUGAGGACAAUGUGAAGUUUAAGUGUGGGGGAGGAAAAUAUUUGAACUUGCAUUUUAAGCCUAUGUGAUGAUAUUUUGUGGAUUUAAAUGCUUAGAAAUGUUGGAAUUGUGUUUGAAAUGUUUGCCAUGUGGAUAAUUUGCUUGAAAUUGGGUUUGUUGGCAGGGAGUUUUCAUCCAUUUAUAAGGAGAAACUCUGUAAAAAAUUUUCUAAAAUCUUUUCCAAUAUUUCACUAUGGCCCAAAAGUUCUUCAAAUUUUUGCAUUUUCAUUCAAAAAGGGCUAAUUGUUCCAACCUUAUUCUUCCAAUUGUUGAAAUGUUAUAUGUAUUUUGGAAGGUUUAGUCCUAAUUUAACUUGGAAAUAGUAUUAUGCAAUUAGAAUUUUUACAUUUUAGAAAGUAUAUUUGGUAAAGUAAGGAAAAUUAUGCCUAUAAUUUUACAUGUUUAAUGAGAUUUCUUUUCUUUACUUAAUUUUGCAAGUAAGUGAUUGAUAUAGUCGAUAAAGGUUAUACUCCUCCUUUGAUUAUUUCUAUAAAUAUUUUUUUUUUCUAUGAGAAAAAAAAAAGAAAAAAAAAAGAGAAAAAGAAAAAAAGAGAAAGUAAAUAAAAAUUGUUCUACUCCAAUGAUUCAUGUACCGAGUAACCGGGAGUUGGCAUCAACAAAUGUCUACAUUCGCGUAAAAAGGUACUUGAAUUAAGAGUAUGCAUAGCAACUUGAAUAAGUGAAAGGUUGAGUAACCGGGGAUCUUCACCUAAAAGUGUCGAUUUUCACGUAAAAAGGCAUUCUCACUAUUUAAGUAAAAUUUGUGUGAAUAAAUCGCUCUUAGUUAUAGAAUGUUGAGAAAAAGAUGAUUAUAGGAGGAGGAAAGCUAUAAAUUGACUAUGUGAUUUGCUUAUUUGUAAAAUUAAGUUAGGGUAAGAGAUUAAGUUUAACUUGUUGAAUUUAGGGUAUAAUUAUCUUUCCUUUACUUGAUAUUAUGAGUAUUUAGUGUAAAUUGACUAAUUGUAUAAUGAUUAUUUUCCAAGUCUUGAGGAAUUAAAUUGGACAAAGUAUAUAUAUUAUUUCACCUCUUGAAUCAUUGCAUUUGAUUAUGUGUGAAUUGCUUGAGGACAAUCAAUGAUUUAAGUGUGGGGGAAUUUGAUAAGUGACUAAUUUACGUAAUAAUUGUAUGACAUUAUAUAUUAUUUUUAGUCACUUUGGUUAUAUUAUUGGAAGAAUAUGAAUCAUUUUGGCUAUAAUUGGUGAAAAAUGCUUUUAAGUGAUUAAAUGAGGUUUUUAUCACUUUUUACUUGGAUUUUGUGUAUUUUGACAGUUUUGACACAUUUUCGUAUUUCGGCUAUAACUUGAGCUACAAUGAUCGGAUUGGGAUGAUUCUUGAACCCAUUUGAAGAUAAGAGAUAGAUCUACAACUUUGCUGAAGACAUCCGAAUCCAGUUUGAAGGUUUUCAAAAUCAAAAAGCCGAAUUACAUUAGCUAAUUUCUGUUGGUCGAAGCUGAAACAGGGCAAUGAGCAGACAAGGGUAUUUCAGUCAUAUCUCAGCCUACACAGAUCCAAAUGAGGUGAUUCUUGAUGCAUUGGAAAGAUAACUCAAAAGGCUACAACUUUCGUGUUUUACACAUGAGCUGGUUCAGCCUCUAACAUCAAGAAAAGAUCGGUUGAAGUUGGGCCAAAAAUAGAGCAAGUGAUCCACACUCGGAUCCACUAUUCAUCCGAACCCUCGGCUGUUUCUGGGUUAGUGGAUCCGAGCUCGGAUCCAUACGGAUCCGAGGCACUGUAGCAGCUCGGAUCACUGGUCAGAAAAGGCUGCUUUAUACGCGUAAAACUCAAUUUCACCUCCACCAACUCACAUGUGAUGCUAGACAUGUGAGAGACAUUACCAGCUGUAAAAGGGAGUUGAAAACAUCAUUUCUUGACCAACCUUUCAUCAUUAAAUAGCCAAAUUCAUUGCAAGAGAGAGGAUCCAAGAAGUAGAGAGCAAGAGAAGAGGAGAUAGCAGAAAAAUAGAGAGGGAGCUACGGGAGAAGCUUGGAGUCUGCAGAAAUGUAGCUCUUUCAUCUCCCUAGUGUUAGUUUAGCUUAGUAUAGAGUAGUGUAGCUUUUCCAUUCUUGUUUAUUAUCUAGAUUAGGAUGAAGAUGGAGGAUGAAGAAGGCAAGGAAGAAAGCUCAUGUGACAAGGAUUAGGAUGAAGAUGGAGGAUGAAGAAGGCAAGGAAGAAAGCUCAUGUGACAAGGGUUGUAUUCCUUCCAAACUCUUUAUCUUUUGUAUUUGAUUCCAAGUUUAGUUAAUAUACAAGUUCUGGAUUUUGUGUUUAA
rnacentral:lncRNA from 1 species